GGCACUAUAGCCAAGUGGUUAAGGCGACAGAUUAGAAUACUUGGGGUUGAAUGAGAUUCAUCUGUUACUCUCUGAGUGCGCAGGUUCAAAUCCUGCUGGUGUCG
rnacentral:tRNA from 1 species